CGGCUCCCCGACCCCGGGCUCCCCGGGAGCGCUGGGCCCCGCGGGUGGCCCCGAUCCGGGCCGGCGGGCAAAACAAAGCGGAGACGGGGAAAGGAAAAGGGAGAGAAAGUGCAGCUCCUUCCUCCUCCCGGCCCUCCGCCUGCCUCUCCCUGCGUGAGACAGCGCUGCCAGCGGAUCCUGACCGGGGGCAGGGGGUGGAGAGAGGGGGAGGAGGAGGAGGACGGAGGGAGGGAAGGAAGGAGGGACGAACGGGAGCCUCUCUCCUUCCCUGGGCUGUUUUUUUCAGUUUCCUGUCUCGCAUUGUGCUCACAGCGGAUAUGUGCUGCGCCUACAGGUGUGUCCCCUCCUCGCAGCUUUUCCCCGGCUCCCCGGCGUAGGCUCCGGCUGUCGGGGGGCGGCGGCCGAUCGCGACAGUCAUGUGAUGAUUAAUUUGCUCUCGGGGCGGUUUCUCUUUCUCUCUCUUAUUCUCCUCUCGCUCUCCGCCUUCCCUUCCCUCACUCCCCGCCGCUCUCCCCCUUCCUCUCGGAGGUGGCCGCAGCCGCUGCCGCCUUCGCCCUGACUCCGGCUGCUGUGGCGGCGGCGGGGCCCGCCGGGAGCAUGGGCGGCCGCCGGGGGCUGCCGUAGCGCUUCUGCCCAGCCCGCCGCUCCCCGCCCCGGGCUCCCGGGCACCGCCGCUCCCGUUCGGGCAACUCGGAGGGUCCGCGCCCGCGGGGCUGGCUCUCUCUCCCCCGCCGGCUCCUGCACCUGUUGAAGGAACAAAUACACGUCAAAAGGCACUUCAUCCUGGAAGCUACUUGCACAGAAGCCUGAGCCCCAAGAAGUCCUUUUCGUUAGUGGUGGUCGUGCUGCUCAGGCCUGAAGCCAUCCCAAGAACUGUGGAGGCUCAUUCCUUGUUAAAUGUUGCUUUAACCCUUGGCCAGGUGGGUGUCAUGGGUUUUGUUCAAACGCUUUGAGCUCCGUGACAACUGGAGUCACAAGACCCCAAGUCACUCUGAUCACAGGACUGCAGUUCAACAUGUCCCUCUCUAAACCUUUAGCAAGACCAAAUACAGUUCAAGGAAUGUGAUUUUUGGUUUUUUUUUUUCCUUUGCUACAGAAGGAUAUAAAUACUAUUCACAGUAUUCUACUCGAUGAAUCAGAAUCUGAAACUAUUUAUUUUGGCCAGCCUAAUAUGUUGUCAUCCUCCCUCUUUCUUCUGGAAAAUUUUGGCCUUUCCACGAGUUCAAUCCCAUGAGGAGCAUCGUUUCUGACUGCUGAGAAGAGCAGUAAAAAUCUGCAAAGCUAUCUUCACAAGGAUUUUAGAAAGAAGUCAGUUAUAAAGUUGGUGAUUUGUGCUAUGUGCUUCUUGUCUCAGG
rnacentral:lncRNA from 1 species